CUCCCUUUCCCCUGAAAAAGUUUUCUGUAACCCAGACCAGUUUCUCAGAGGUCACCGUUUGGAAAAGUUCAGCUUGCUUUGAUAAUUCAUUACACUAAAUAAGCCCUCCAUAACUGCCUCACGGCCGACAGCUGGAUAUCCUUGCAUUUGUUUUAAACCGAUGUUAGAGGCGAUCAUGCAGGACGAAGAGAAUUCCUCGGUCUCUCCAAUAGAGAGUCUGAGCAACAGCGAAGACGAAGGAGACAGGCAGCAGAAGAAAAGUGUCAGAAAGAGGCGACCGAGCAGGAAAUCUGGCGAGGAAACAGAUAGCCCUGCCUCGGGGAAAAGGGGCAAGAAAACGGACGGUAGCCCUCAGUCCUUCGAAGAACUGCAGACCCAGAGGGUCAUGGCCAAUGUAAGGGAGCGCCAGAGGACGCAGUCCCUAAACGAAGCUUUCUCCGCUCUGCGCAAAAUUAUUCCGACCCUCCCAUCGGAUAAACUGAGCAAAAUCCAGACCCUCAAACUCGCGGCGCGUUACAUCGAUUUCCUUUACCAGGUCUUACAAAGCGACGAGCUGGACAACAAAAUGUCGAGCUGCAGUUAUGUGGCACACGAGAGACUUAGUUACGCGUUCUCAGUGUGGAGGAUGGAAGGAGCGUGGUCAAUGUCCGCAUCACACUAGCAGCUCCCCGUAGGACAAAGGUACGCUAAACUUGGCAGCGUUUACUCAAUGUCCUGUACAAAUAAUUUGAAGCGGCGCCAGUAGAGGUGAGCGAGAUUUGUCACAAAGGGCCAACCGCUGGACAGACAACAGUUUGACGUCUGGAUACUUAAACACGUUGAUCCUUGCCGUUGAUGGAUAACGAGCGCAGAGCACAAAAUAGCUAGUGGAAAGAACGUGAGGAGCACUUACAGAAAACCAGCCUUGGACGCGGACCCAUCCAAUCGUGCGGCUAUGCAAUCAUUUGUACUUCUGAGGUGUAUUUUUGCCAUUCACAUCAUUUUAUCCUGACGAUGAAUGUUGUUGGAACUCAAUCCUUCCUUUACUAUGCAUGCCUUCAACAAUCAUAACUGCUAUUGAUGACGCAGGAAAGUUGAAUUAUUUUAUUUUUGUUUUCCAAAACUGAUAAAUGGAAAAGGUCUAGAGUGACAAUGAGUUUAUAGAAAAUGGACCAAACUGUUAUGCAGUUGGUUAGUCUUUCUUUUCUUGAGAAACAUUUAUUUAUUUAUUGAUGUGCCAUGUUCCAAUGCAUAAAGAUCUGGUGUCUAAAUGCAUUCAUAUUUUUGUGAUUGUUUUGUAAAUACCUUUGUAUAUUUUCUGCAAUAAAUACCUAUGAUCUAAACUUUAAA